rnacentral:rRNA from 1 species
ACAUGCUUAUAGCAUAGCAUUAAAGUAUUGGAUCCCAUUAGAACUCCACAAUUAAGCACACUUAGGCUAGAGUAGUACUCAGAUGGGUGACCACUCGGGAAGUCCUAGCAUUUUACAUGCC